UACUAGAGUAGCACUCGCAUAUCAAUAAGCGGAGGAAAAGAAACUAACAAGGAUUCCCCUAGUAACGGCGAGUGAAGCGGGAAGAGCUCGAAUUUGAAAUCUUAAAGGGUUUCCCUUUACGAAUUGUAGUUUAAAGAAGUGUUUUCUGUUGAGGUUUUGGUAAAGUUCUUUGGAAUAGGACAUCAUAGAGGGUGAGAAUCCCGUAUUUGACCUUUACUUUCAACUUUGUGAUACACUUUCAAAGAGUCGGAUUGUUUGGGAAUGCAGUCCAAAAUGGGUGGUAAAUUUCAUCUAAAGCUAAGUAUUGGCGAGAGACCGAUAGCGAACAAGUACCGUGAGGGAAAGAUGAAAAGAACUUUGAAAAGAGAGUUAAACAGUACGUGAAAUUGUCAAAAGGGAAGCGUUUGACACCAGUGUUGUUUUUCUGAAAAUCAAUUAAAGAACUGUUUAUGCUAAGUUGUUUAGACUUUAUCAGCUAACUGUUUAGUUUUGAGCUUUUCUUUAAUGCACUUUUCAGUUAACAAGUCAACAUCAAUUUCUUUUGCUGUAAAAAAGCUUGAGGAAGGUGGCUUGAGAUUCGUCUUAAGUGUUUAUAGCCUCUCGCCUAUGCAGUCGGAGAGAUUGAGGUCUGCAGCGUAGAUCCUUCGGGGCUAAAUGCAUUUGUGCUAAGUUAUAGCAUUUUAUAGACAACUUGUUGACUAUGAUUUGUCUUGUAGCUUACUCGCUUAUGUUAUUUUACCUACGCUUAGGAUGUUGAUAUCGCGCUCUCACUG
rnacentral:rRNA from 1 species